rnacentral:siRNA from 1 species
UAAAGAAGCUUACUACUCAGUCCU